rnacentral:rRNA from 1 species
AGAGUUUGAUCAUGGCUCAGAGCGAACGCUGGCGGCAGCUUAACACAUGCAAGUCGAGCGGGCGUAGCAAUACGUCAGCGGCGGACGGGUGAGUAACGCGUGGGAACAUACCUUUUUCGGAACAACACAGGGAAACUUGUGCUAAUACCGGAUAAGCCCUUACGGGGAAAGAUUUAUCGCCGAAAGAUUGGCCCGCGUCUGAUUAGCUAGUUGGUGAGGUAACGGCUCACCAAGGCGACGAUCAGUAGCUGGUCUGAGAGGAUGAUCAGCCACAUUGGGACUGAGACACGGCCCAAACUCCUACGGGAGGCAGCAGUGGGGAAUAUUGGACAAUGGGCGCAAGCCUGAUCCAGCCAUGCCGCGUGAGUGAUGAAGGCCCUAGGGUUGUAAAGCUCUUUUGUGCGGGAAGAUAAUGACGGUACCGCAAGAAUAAGCCCCGGCUAACUUCGUGCCAGCAGCCGCGGUAAUACGAAGGGGGCUAGCGUUGCUCGGAAUCACUGGGCGUAAAGGGUGCGUAGGCGGGUCUUUAAGUCAGGGGUGAAAUCCUGGAGCUCAACUCCAGAACUGCCUUUGAUACUGAGGAUCUUGAGUUCGGGAGAGGUGAGUGGAAUUGCGAGUGUAGAGGUGAAAUUCGUAGAUAUUCGCAAGAACACCAGUGGCGAAGGCGGCUCACUGGCCCGAUACUGACGCUGAGGCACGAAAGCGUGGGGAGCAAACAGGAUUAGAUACCCUAGUAGUCC